rnacentral:rRNA from 1 species
AGUGAACGCUGGCGGUAGGCCUAACACAUGCAAGUCGAACGGCAGCACAGUAAGAGCUUGCUCUUACGGGUGGCGAGUGGCGGACGGGUGAGGAAUACAUCGGAAUCUACUUUUUCGUGGGGGAUAACGUAGGGAAACUUACGCUAAUACCGCAUACGACCUACGGGUGAAAGCAGGGGAUCUUCGGACCUUGCGCGAUUGAAUGGGCCGAUGUCGGAUUAGUUAGUUGGCGGGGUAAAGGCCCACCAAGGCGACGAUCCGUAGCUGGUCUGAGAGGAUGAUCAGCCACACUGGAACUGAGACACGGUCCAGACUCCUACGGGAGGCAGCAGUGGGGAAUAUUGGACAAUGGGCGCAAGCCUGAUCCAGCCAUACCGCGUGAGUGAAGAAGGCCUUCGGGUUGUAAAGCCCUUUUGUUGGGAAAGAAAAGCAGCAGGUUAAUACCCCGCUGUUCUGACGGUACCCAAAGAAUAAGCACCGGCUAACUUCGUG